rnacentral:rRNA from 1 species
UACGUAGGGGGCUAGCGUUGUCCGGAAUCAUUGGGCGUAAAGCGCGUGUAGGCGGCUCGAUAAGUCCGCUGUGAAAGUCGGGGGCUCAACCCUCGAAUGCCGGUGGAUACUGUCGGGCUAGAGUGCGGAAGAGGCGAGUGGAAUUCCUGGUGUAGCGGUGAAAUGCGCAGAUAUCAGGAGGAACACCGGUGGCGAAGGCGGUUCUCUGGGCCUUACCUGACGCUGAGGAGCGAAAGCAUGGGGAGCAAACAGG